ACUCCUACGGGAGGCAGCAGUGGGGAAUAUUGCACAAUGGGCGCAAGCCUGAUGCAGCCAUGCCGCGUGUGUGAAGAAGGCCUUCGGGUUGUAAAGCACUUUCUAGUUGUGAGGAAGGUGGUGUCGUUAAUAGCGGCAUCAUUUGACGUUAGCAACAGAAGAAGCACCGGCUAACUCCGUGCCAGCAGCCGCGGUAAUACGGAGGGUGCGAGCGUUAAUCGGAAUUACUGGGCGUAAAGCGCAUGCAGGUGGUUGUUAAGUCAGAUGUGAAAGCCCGGGGCUCAACCUCGGAACUGCAUUUGAAACUGGCAGACUAGAGUACUGUAGAGGGGGUAGAAUUUCAGGUGUAGCGGUGAAAUGCGUAGAGAUCUGAAGGAUACCGGUGGCGAAGCGGCCCCUGGACAGAUACUGACACUCAGAUGCGAAAGCGUGGGAGCAAACAGGAUUAGUACCCCUGGUAGCGACUGA
rnacentral:rRNA from 1 species